rnacentral:rRNA from 1 species
GAUGAACGCUGGCGGCGUGCCUAAUACAUGCAAGUCGAGCGAACAGACGAGGAGCUUGCUCCUCUGACGUUAGCGGCGGACGGGUGAGUAACACGUGGAUAACCUACCUAUAAGACUGGGAUAACUUCGGGAAACCGGAGCUAAUACCGGAUAAUAUAUUGAACCGCAUGGUUCAAUAGUGAAAGACGGUUUUGCUGUCACUUAUAGAUGGAUUCGCGCCGCAUUAGCUAGUUGGUAAGGUAACGGCUUACCAAGGCAACGAUGCGUAGCCGACCUGAGAGGGUGAUCGGCCACACUGGAACUGAGACACGGUCCAGACUCCUACGGGAGGCAGCAGUAGGGAAUCUUCCGCAAUGGGCGAAAGCUUGACGGAGCAACGCCGCGUGAGUGAUGAAGGUCUUCGGAUCGUAAAACUCUGUUAUUAGGGAAGAACAAAUGUGUAAGUAACUAUGCACGUCUUGACGGUACCUAAUCAGAAAGCCACGGCUAACUACGU